rnacentral:ncRNA from 3 species
AAUCGUUCCGAGGGGGGCCCCGUUCAGGGGGCUGAGAUAGGGCCGCAGCCCUGACCCUUGAACCUGAUCCGGCUCAUACCGGCGGAGGGACGGGAACUACGCUUGGG